CCUACGGGAGGCUGCAGUGGGGAAUAUUGGGCAAUGGGCGCAAGCCUGACCCAGCAACGCCGCGUGAAGGAAUAAUGCUUUCGGGUUUUAAACUUCUUUUCUCAGGGACGAAACAAGUGACGGUACCUGAGUAAUAAGCUACGGCUAACUACGUGCCAGCCGACGCGGUAAUACGUAGGUGGCAAGCGUUAUCCGGAUUUACUGGGUGUAAAGGGCGUGUGGGCGGGAAAGCAAGUCAGAUGUGAAAACCAUGGGCUUAACCUGUGGCCUGCAUUUGAAACUGUUUUUCUUGAGUACUGGAGAGGUAGACGGAAUUCGUAGUGUAGCGGUGAAAUGCGUAGAUAUUAGGAGGAACACCAGUGGCGAAGGCGGUCUGCUGGACAGCAACUGACGCUGAGGCGCGAAAGCGUGGGGAGCAAACAGGAUUAGAUACCCCGGUAGUC
rnacentral:rRNA from 1 species